rnacentral:rRNA from 1 species
GCCUACGGGGCGCAGCAGUGGGGAAUAUUGCACAAUGGGCGCAAGCCUGAUGGAGCAACGCCGCGUGGGUGAAGAAGGUCUUCGGAUCGUAAAACCCUGUUGUUAGAGAAGAAAGUGCGUGAGAGUAACUGUUCACGUUUCGACGGUAUCUAACCAGAAAGCCACGGCUAACUACGUGCCAGCAGCCGCGGUAAUACGUAGGUGGCAAGCGUUAUCCGGAUUUAUUGGGCGUAAAGUGAACGCAGGCGGUCUUUUAAGUCUGAUGUGAAAGCCUUCGGCUUAACCGGAGUAUUGCAUUGGAAACU